UACGUAGGGUGCGAGCGUUGUCCGGAAUUAUUGGGCGUAAAGAGUUUGUAGGCGGUUUGUCGCGUCUGCUGUGAAAAUCCGGGGCUCAACCCCGGACUUGCAGUGGGUACGGGCAGACUAGAGUGUGGUAGGGGAGACUGGAAUUCCUGGUGUAGCGGUGAAAUGCGCAGAUAUCAGGAGGAACACCGAUGGCGAAGGCAGGUCUCUGGGCCACUACUGACGCUGAGAAGCGAAAGCAUGGGGAGCGAACAGGAUUAGAUACCCCCGUAGU
rnacentral:rRNA from 1 species